rnacentral:rRNA from 1 species
GAUGAACGCUGGCGGCGUGCCUAACACAUGCAAGUCGAACGGAGUUAUGUAAAGGAAGUUUUCGGACGGAGAGUAUGUAACUGAGUGGCGGACGGGUGAGUAACGCGUGGGGAACCUGCCCUGUACCGGGGGAUAACAUCUGGAAACAGAUGCUAAAACCGCAUAAGCGCACAGCACCGCAUGAUGCAGUGUGAAAAACUCCGGUGGUACAGGAUGGCCCCGCGUCUGAUUAGCCGGUUGGCAGGGUAACGGCCUGCCAAAGCAACGAUCAGUAGCCGGCCUGAGAGGGUGGACGGCCACAUUGGGACUGAGACACGGCCCAG